rnacentral:rRNA from 1 species
AGCGCACCUUCGGGUGAGCGGCGGACGGGUGAGUAACGCGUGGGAACGUGCCCUUCUCUGCGGAAUAGCCACUGGAAACGGUGAGUAAUACCGCAUACGCCCUUCGGGGGAAAGAUUUAUCGGAGAAGGAUCGGCCCGCGUUAGAUUAGGUAGUUGGUGGGGUAAUGGCCUACCAAGCCUACGAUCUAUAGCUGGUUUGAGAGGAUGAUCAGCCACACUGGGACUGAGACACGGCCCAGACUCCUACGGGAGGCAGCAGUGGGGAAUCUUAGACAAUGGGCGCAAGCCUGAUCUAGCCAUGCCGCGUGAGUGAUGAAGGCCUUAGGGUCGUAAAGCUCUUUCGCUGGGGAAGAUAAUGACUGUACCCAGUAAAGAAACCCCGGCUAACUCCGUGCCAGCAGCCGCGGUAAUACGGAGGGGGUUAGCGUUGUUCGGAAUUACUGGGCGUAAAGCGCGCGUAGGCGGAUCAGAAAGUUGGGGGUGAAAUCCCGGGGCUCAACCUCGGAACUGCCUCCAAAACUCCUGGUCUUGAGUUCGAGAGAGGUGAGUGGAAUUCCGAGUGUAGAGGUGAAAUUCGUAGAUAUUCGGAGGAACACCAGUGGCGAAGGCGGCUCACUGGCUCGAUACUGACGCUGAGGUGCGAAAGUGUGGGGAGCAAACAGGAUUAGAUACCCUGGUAGUCCACACCGUAAACGAUGAAUGCCAGUCGUCGGCAAGCAUGCUUGUCGGUGACACACCUAACGGAUUAAGCAUUCCGCCUGGGGAGUACGGUCGCAAGAUUAAAACUCAAAGGAAUUGAC